rnacentral:rRNA from 1 species
UACGUAGGGGGCAAGCGUUGUCCGGAAUCAUUGGGCGUAAAGAGCUCGUAGGCGGCUCAGUAAGUCGGGUGUGAAACCUCCAGGCUCAACCUGGAGACGCCACCCGAUACUGCUGUGGCUAGAGUCCAGUAGGGGAGUGUGGAAUUCCCGGUGUGAGCGGUGAAAUCGCGCAGAUAUACGGGAGGAACACCGGUGGGCGAAGGCGGAUCUCUGGGCCAUUACUGACGCUGAGGAGCGAAAGCG